GCCGAUUUAGCUCAGUGGUAGAGCAGCGGUUUCGUAAACCGCAGGUCUGGGGUUCAAAUCCCCAAAUCGGCU
rnacentral:tRNA from 1 species